GAUGAAGAACGCAGCGAAAUGCGAUAAGUAAUGUGAAUUGCAGAAUUCAGUGAAUCAUCGAAUCUUUGAACGCACAUUGCGCCCUCUGGUAUUCCGGGGGGCAUGCCUGUUCGAGCGUCAUUAUAACCACUCAAGCUCUCGCUUGGUAUUGGGGUUCGCGGUUCCGCGGCCCCUAAAAUCAGUGGCGGUGCCUGUCGGCUCUACGCGUAGUAAUACUCCUCGCGAUUGAGUCCGGUAGGUCUACUUGCCAGCAACCCCCGAUUUUUACAGGUUGACCUCGGAUCAGGUAGGGAUACCCGCUGAACUUAAGCAUAUCAAUAAGCGGAGGA
rnacentral:misc_RNA from 1 species